rnacentral:rRNA from 2 species
AAAUUGAAGAGUUUGAUCAUGGCUCAGAUUGAACGCUGGCGGCAGGCCUAACACAUGCAAGUCGAACGGUAACAGGAAACAGCUUGCUGUUUCGCUGACGAGUGGCGGACGGGUGAGUAAUGUCUGGGAAACUGCCCGAUGGAGGGGGAUAACUACUGGAAACGGUAGCUAAUACCGCAUAACGUCGCAAGACCAAAGAGGGGG